rnacentral:lncRNA from 1 species
CUUCUGAAGUAUGUCAUAGUCUUCUGGUUACCAUGUGAACUGUACACAGUCAUGGUCUCCAGAGACCAUCCUCAGAGUUACAGAGCUACUCUCAGAACCAUACUCGUGUUGAGAUUUCACUCACCUUCAAGGAGGAUGGGUCUCCCAAGCGAGCAUAGCUCAUCGGGGUGCAUGGGGCUGGCCACUAACAUCCUUGCCUUGUGUGUGCUCUGGGGACCAGCCAUGGCUAUGACUGUGUGUUUGUUGAACUUGGUGCAGGCGAAGGCAGGAGCUGCCCACGCCUUUCUCCAUGACCUUCUAGCUCUAGCCUUGAUUGGAAGCUUGGCCUUGCUCCUUUUGUUCUAGAAUUCAUUCUGUCUCCAGACAGCCAACCGCCUGAAGAUGCUGGAAGCCAACUGCCUGAAACCCCCGCUUCGGCCAGUUUCCUUUACUUUCUGUUCAGUUAACAUCCUAGACCUCUGAUUCGGCCUCAGAUUUGGCUCUCGGUGCCUCUACUCCUCUGGUCCUUUCACCUCAAACUGCGGUCCAGCUCUCGAGUCUCCCUUGUAUGAACUAGAGCUCAGGUAUUGAUGACAAGUGGUUGGAUGUGACACUGGUGAGGGAGACAAGGGCCAGGUUUGAAGGGACCUGUAGCCAGACUAAGGACUCUGAACUUUAUUUUGAGCCCAACGAAGGAUUGUUGAUUUUCUUUUCUUUUGUCAGAAGUGAGACAGCCACACUGAAGCUUUCUAGGUAAAGCUCCCAGGAGCUGAAGUACAUUCUGAUCACUGACUCCUUCUCAACUCCCCGCAGGAGCCCAGCAGGGGAAGAACAAGGUGGGGCUCCUGGUGCUAAAAGCUGGAGAGAGGACAAGACCCAGGGUCUCUAUGAAUAGCGGGACUGGAUGGCCCGAGGAGGAGGAGGGGACAGAAAAGAAGACAGACAGGGGAGCGUGAAACCUGUCUUCUUCUCAUUUAGUAUCUCAAACUUCUUGGUGUCAGGACCACUUGACAUCCUUAACAACUAUCGAGGAUCCCAAAGAGCUUUUUGUUAUGUAGGUUUUAUCUAUCGAUAUGGACCAUAUUAGGAAUUAAAACUGAGAAAUAUACAAAAUAUGUAUUCAUUUAAAAAUCAGUGACAGUGAACCCAUUACAUGUUAGCACAAAUAAUAUCUUUUUAUGGGAAUCGUGUUUUCAAAAAAAACUGAGAACGGGGGCAUUGUUUUACAUUUUUACAUUUUCUAAUGUCUGGUUUCACAGAGGGCAGCUGAAAUAUCUUCUGCCUUCAAUCUGUUGCAAUAUUUUUUUUGGUUUAAAUACAGAAGAAAAUCCAGCCUUACACAGAUGUGCAAUUGAUGAAGGAAGGACCUCUCAGACCCCUGAAAGGGUUUUGGGGAUCACAUGUUGAGACUCACGGCUUUAAUUCAGAGUUCUAGCUGCACAGUGCCUCAAAGCCACAAUCACUUUGCUUUUCCUAAAGCAAUUCAGUCUCACAUUGCAGAACUUUGUUAAAGAGCUUUUGGGAAAUCUGUCCAUCCAGCAAUUCCCUUCUUUAAAAACUGAACCCCUACCCAUGGGGAAGGGGUUGGGAGGAGCUCUGACAGGAAUCCUUCUAAAACAUGACCUGCCCCCCACCGGGUGCAAGUUUCUGCACCAAGAGAGAACCCAAUAACAGCUGGAUCAACCAAGUCCUCUCUUCCAGGAACCUGGCAAUGGGGGACAUGGGCCGAGGGCUCUUGAAUGCAGAAAGCAAGGCUGCCGUUGUGGACCACCCUCUGUAACUAUGGAGCCCUGGGUUCUUCACAGCUUCUGGGACCUGCUCUCCAAUGAGGGUGCUCCUGUUUUAACCAUUCACUAAUUUAUUAUUCCAUUCAUUCUUAUAGU